rnacentral:rRNA from 1 species
ACGCUGGCGGCAGGCUUAACACAUGCAAGUCGAACGGUAACAGGAGGAAGCUUGCUUUCUUGCUGACGAGUGGCGGACGGGUGAGUAAUGCUUGGGAAUCUGGCUUAUGGAGGGGGAUAACUACGGGAAACUGUAGCUAAUACCGCGUAGUGUCGAGAGACGAAAGUGCGGGACCGCAAGGCCGCAUGCCAUGAGAUGAGCCCAAGUGGGAUUAGGUAGUUGGUGGGGUAAAGGCCUACCAAGCCUGCGAUCUCUAGCUGGUCUGAGAGGAUGGCCAGCCACACUGGAACUGAGACACGGUCCAGACUCCUACGGGAGGCAGCAGUGGGGAAUAUUGCGCAAUGGGGGGAACCCUGACGCAGCCAUGCCGCGUGAAUGAAGAAGGCCUUCGGGUUGUAAAGUUCUUUCGGUAUUGAGGAAGGAGUGUAUGUUAAUAGCAUACAUUAUUGACGUUAAAUACAGAAGAAGCACCGGCUAACUCCGUGCCAGCAGCCGCGGUAAUACGGAGGGUGCGAGCGUUAAUCGGAAUAACUGGGCGUAAAGGGCACGCAGGCGGUUAUUUAAGUGAGGUGUGAAAGCCCCGGGCUUAACCUGGGAAUUGCAUUUCAGACUGGGUAACUAGAGUACUUUAGGGAGGGGUAGAAUUCCACGUGUAGCGGUGAAAUGCGUAGAGAUGUGGAGGAAUACCGAAGGCGAAGGCAGCCCCUUGGGAAUGUACUGACGCUCAUGUGCGAAAGCGUGGGGAGCAAACAGGAUUAGAUACCCUGGUAGUCCACGCUGUAAACGCUGUCGAUUUGGGGAUUGGGCUUAAAGCUUGGUGCCCGUAGCUAACGUGAUAAAUCGACCGCCUGGGGAGUACGGCCGCAAGGUUAAAACUCAAAUGAAUUGACGGGGGCCCGCACAAGCGGUGGAGCAUGUGGUUUAAUUCGAUGC